CUCACGCACAGUAUGCACUAAAAAUCAACUUUUAUUCUGAUUAAAGGUUUAAAAUAUCUGGAUGUAAAUGUGGUUGAAAGUGCUGGCUCAGAUUGUUACUGCUGGUACAGCAAUGAAUGGUACUUGUUGGCUCCAAGCUCUGUUCAAGCACAGAUGAAAGAGAGAUGCAUCUUUGUUACACUGUGCAGAUAAUUCCACAAUAUCCAUUGUCGUGGAGCCUCCUCAGAGCCUUUACAUGGUUC